rnacentral:lncRNA from 1 species
UUGGCUCAGCUUCUGUCACGUGCCCUUGUCUUAACUGCAGGGGAGGCUGGGAAAAUGUUCAAGCUUCUUCAGCUUCCAUAGGCAGGUUCUGCUUCCCUCAAACUUAGGAAAGGGCUUCAGAUGUGGAGCAGCCUAAAAGAAUGACACAUGCCCACUCUAAUUAGCUGGCCAAAUUAGUUCUACAGAAGAGAAGUACCUUGGGAUUUCGGAGCAGAAAGUGAUGAUUCUGAGGAGGCUUUAGAGGAGGGGAGAUUUGAUCAAGUCUUGAAGGAUGAGAAAGUUGGUAGGGUUGUAGGUAGGGAUAGGAGAAGGAUUUCGAGAGACACAUAUGGAAUGACAAUAUUAAGAAUGCUGAACUGGGGAAAACAAAUGCAAGCGCUGUGCUAGCAGGAAGGUCUGUGAAGUUUGCAAUAAAGCCAUUAUGAAGUCAAGAAUGGAGGUUCCAUUUUUAAAGAACUCAGAGGGGGUAGAUCUUGAUUGACAUCUCAUCUGGGGUCACCUGGUCUUCAACUGAGAGAUCUUUUGGUUCGCCACGGAUGCCCCUUGCAGUUAUGGAAGCUUCCCUGACCAGAGGUCGUUUUGAGUUUCCUUCUCUGGAAUUUGACCACUGAGCAGAGACACAUAGGAGAGAAGACGUGAAUGCUGAGUCAUCAAUCAGCAUCACUGGGAAGAAAAAGCCUCUCAGUUUCUUCUGCUGGGACUCCCAGAGCUGGAGUAUUUUCUGCUCUUCCUAAGGCCUGAAUCUCACCUUGUCACCCAGGCUGGAGUGCAAUGGCAUAAUCUCAGCUCACUGCAACCUCUGUCUCCCAGGCUCAAAUGAUUCUCCUGCCUCAGCCUCCUGAGUAGCUGGGAUUACAGGCGCCCAUGGACUACCAGCUUUUUAAGUAGACUUUUUAGCCAAAGGCCAAGGGAAACUACCCUCUUCCUACUGGGGUUCAAAUUGAUUAAAAUGGUUUGCUUUGACUUUUGUUGAAGUCUCUUUAUUUUCUUUUUAAGAUUAUGUUAAAUUAUAAUCCACAUUGGCUUUCUUUUUACAGGUAAACUUUUUCUCUUCUAGAUUUCUAGACGGCCUUCCCCCACUUCGCUUCUCUCUCUGCCAUUUUCCUCCCC